rnacentral:lncRNA from 1 species
GAAUUCCCUCAUAAUUAAGCAUUCAUUUUUUUACAGGGCUCUCCUAAGCACACAAGGAACACGCUUCAGAGCAGAGGACUAGACACACAGGGAGGCAUUUUAAUCCCUCAAAGGUUGACUCUGCUGCUCCCUUCCUGCCUCCUGCAUGUGACAACCUGUGGACUCCUGGACUUCUCCCCCUGCCUGAUGGCACCACCUACCCCUGCCCUCAGCAGGAUUUUGGCGUGGCUGAGCCCAGCUCUGAGGCAGGUCUAUUCUACAUGGAUCUGGUGAACUCCAUACAAAGAACCACCACUUACAUGAAAAAACACAGGAGGAAAAAAGGCUUAUAAUCCCA